ACGGGAGGCAGCAGUGGGGAAUAUUGCACAAUGGGGGAAACCCUGAUGCAGCGACGCCGCGUGAGUGAAGAAGUAUUUCGGUAUGUAAAGCUCUAUCAGCAGGGAAGAAAAUGACGGUACCUGACUAAGAAGCCCCGGCUAACUACGUGCCAGCAGCCGCGGUAAUACGUAGGGGGCAAGCGUUAUCCGGAUUUACUGGGUGUAAAGGGAGCGUAGACGGCAAUGCAAGUCUGAAGUGAAAGCCCGUGGCUUAACUGCGGGACUGCUUUGGAAACUGCAUGGCUAGAGUGUCGGAGAGGUGAGUGGAAUUCCCAGUGUAGCGGUGAAAUGCGUAGAUAUUGGGAGGAACACCGGAGGCGAAGGCGGCUCACUGGACGAUCACUGACGUUGAGGCUCGAAAGCGUGGGGAGCAAACAGGAUUAGAUACCCUGGUA
rnacentral:rRNA from 1 species